rnacentral:rRNA from 1 species
CUGCGGCCGAUUAGGUAGUUGGCGGUGUAAGGGACCACCAAGCCUGUGAUCGGUACGGGUGUUGAGAGACAUAGCCCGGAGAUGGGGGCUGAGACACGGCCCCAGGCCCUACGGGGCGCAGCAGGCGCGAAAACUCCGCAAUGCGCGAAAGCGUGACGGGGUCAACCCGAGUGUCGCCUGCUGAAGGCGACUUUUCCUCGGUCUAAAUAGCCGUGGGUAAUAAAGGGAGGGCAAGACUGGUGUCAGCCGCCGCGGUAAUACCAGCUCCCUAAGUGGUGAGGACGAUUAUUGGGCCUAAAGCGUCCGUAGCCGGCUUUACAAGUUCUUCGUUAAAUCCGGCGAUCCAGUCGUCGGUUCGCGGGGAAUACUGUUAAGCUAGGAGGCGGGAGAGGCCGUCAGUACUUUCGGGGUAGGGGUGAAAUCCUAUAAUCCCGGAAGGACUACCAGUGGCGAAGGCGGACGGCCAGAACGCGCUCGACGGUGAGGGACGAAAGCUGGGGGAGCGAACCGGAUUAGAUACCCGGGUAGUCCCAGCUGUAAACGAUGCGGGCUAAGUGUCGGAGUGGCUACAGUG